GACGAACGCUGGCGGCGUGCUUAACACAUGCAAGUCGAACGGAAAGGCCCUGCUUUUGUGGGGUGCUCGAGUGGCGAACGGGUGAGUAACACGUGAGUAACCUGCCCUUGACUUUGGGAUAACUUCAGGAAACUGGGGCUAAUACCGGAUAGGAGCUCCUGCUGCAUGGUGGGGGUUGGAAAGUUUCGGCGGUUGGGGAUGGACUCGCGGCUUAUCAGCUUGUUGGUGGGGUAGUGGCUUACCAAGGCUUUGACGGGUAGCCGGCCUGAGAGGGUGACCGGCCACAUUGGGACUGAGAUACGGCCCAGACUCCUACGGGAGGCAGCAGUGGGGAAUAUUGCACAAUGGGCGGAAGCCUGAUGCAGCAACGCCGCGUGCGGGAUGACGGCCUUCGGGUUGUAAACCGCUUUCGCCUGUGACGAAGCGUGAGUGACGGUAAUGGGUAAAGAAACACCGACUAACUACGU
rnacentral:rRNA from 1 species